AGAGUUUGAUCAUGGCUCAGGACGAACGCUGGCGGCGUGCCUAACACAUGCAAGUCGAGCGAGUGAAGUUCCUUCGGGAAUGGAUUUAGCGGCGGACGGGUGAGUAACACGUGGGCAACCUGCCUCAUAGAGGGGAAUAGCCUUCCGAAAGGGAGAUUAAUACCGCAUAAGAUUGUAGUACCGCAUGGUGCAGCAAUUAAAGGAGCAAUCCGCUAUGAGAUGGGCCCGCGGCGCAUUAGCUAGUUGGUGAGGUAACGGCUCACCAAGGCGACGAUGCGUAGCCGACCUGAGAGGGUGAUCGGCCACAUUGGGACUGAGACACGGCCCAGACUCCUACGGGAGGCAGCAGUGGGGAAUAUUGCACAAUGGGGGAAACCCUGAUGCAGCAACGCCGCGUGAGUGAUGACGGCCUUCGGGUUGUAAAGCUCUGUCUUCAGGGACGAUAAUGACGGUACCUGAGAAGGAAGCCACGGCUAACUACGUGCCAGCAGCCGCGGUAAUACGUAGGUGGCGAGCGUUGUCCGGAUUUACUGGGCGUAAAGGGAGCGUAGGCGGAUUUUUAAGUGAGAUGUGAAAUACUCGGGCUUAACCUGAGUGCUGCAUUUCAAACUGGAAGUCUAGAGUGCAGGAGAGGAGAAGGGAAUUCCUAGUGUAGCGGUGAAAUGCGUAGAGAUUAGGAAGAACACCAGUGGCGAAGGCGCUUCUCUGGACUGUAACUGACGCUGAGGCUCGAAAGCGUGGGGAGCAAACAGGAUUAGAUACCCUGGUAGUCCCACGCCGUAAACGAUGAAUACUAGGUGUAGGGGUUGUCCAUGCAUCUCUGUGCCGCCGCU
rnacentral:rRNA from 1 species